AUGAAGUCAACCCGAACAGUUAGACAGAGAAAAAUCCUCCAAGCGCAUCGCCACCCGCUGCCGCGAGCCGCCGCCCGCCGGCCCCAGCCCCGCCACAGGCUACAGCGCGCCGCCACCGCCUACCCCGCCGGCACUCCUACCCCUACCCCAAGUGCCUCCCACGCUCGCUACGUUCUACCGCCGGCGACACUCGACGCCGCGGCCGUUGCCGGCUCCCACACCCGCGGGCCUUUAUCUCCCCGGCGGCCGCCGCCGCCGCCCUGCUCGUCCAGCGGGCUGGCCCUGUCCAUGGGGCGUACGGGCUACCCGCGCCCUUCGACGCCCGCACGCGCCUCCUUCUGCCCUUCCGCCGCGGACGAUGCCGACUUCUCUGAGUCUAAUGCGAUCCUGGUGGUGGCCACGCCCUGCGAGAGUCUGUUGCUGCUCAGCCCAGCGUCUUGCCGUGGCGGGCGCCUGUCGUCGGAGCUCUGGUUGUCGGUUCCAGAGUCGGGUGGAGAAGAUUGCCCGGAAGCUGGAGGACGUGCACCAGCUGCGGUUGCUGGACAACCGCUACGUUUAGUGGCUGAGGGAAUUGUUGGGCUACGAGAAUCAGUCGCUGAUAAGAGGGCUGAGGCUGAGAAGAUCAAGAGGGAUCAGAGAUUGUGCUCAAUUGUUGGUGGUCAGGACGUCAGGAGUUAUCUGAAGAAAGGACUCACUAUCUGGUUAAAUGUUCCAUUGGAUGCCCUUGCAAGAAGGAUUGCUGCGGUGGUUCAGCGUCACUGCCCCUCCUGCAUCAACAAUCUGGUGAUCCAUAUGCAAAGAUUGUCGGCAAGAUCAAGGCCUACCAGCCCCUUUGCACCGUGCUAUAUUGUUCAGAAGAGCUAUUUUGUGUACAUGAGUUGCUACUGGCAGUGGACAGAUUGUCUAUGCAGAGUGCGUAGAGAAAAAAAUGCUCACAUACAAACACAAACGACAUCCAGUAGGCGCUUGGAACACCCGACAGAUUGA
rnacentral:rRNA from 1 species